AUAGUUCCCCGUGCUAUACAGUAGGACCUCAUUGCUUCUCCAUUCUAAAGGUAAUCAUUUGCAUGUUUUAUACCUACUUAAACCUAUUAGAUAAAGGGAGUUAAUGGACAUUUCUAAGAAGAUGAGUAGAGGUUUGAGUUUUAAUGCCAGGUCUAUUGAGAGUAUGGUUCACAGACCAGUAUCUGUCCACAAGGAGAUAAGCACAGAAAUUGAGAAGUAUAGAAACUGCCAUUGCAAUUUAGCAUUAUCAGGAUCACCAUACUUGAGCAGUUGUUUACAGCGAAGACUUUUUUAUAGUGAAGUUGUCAUAGAACUCACCUAUGGUGUUAGCUACCUACUGGUUACACAGCACUGGGCUGGAGAUGAAAGAAUUCCUUCCAAUUUCCAAUCACCUCAGCUAGUGUGAGGUGCACUAUUCUAAAAAUGAUGAGCUAGCAGUCUUUUGGCAUUGCUUAAUUAGAGUCAUUGCAUGGCUGAAUGCACAUGCCUGAAGUGCUAUGCUAUGUAGGUUCUUAAAGAUAGAUACACAUGCUUCCAAUGCCAUAUGUGCUGGCAUCAGAGCUGACAUUCUUUUUCGAAGGCACUUUUAAUUUGGGACUUCACAGUACUUAACCCCAGGAUGCUCUGUGAGUCAUUGAGAGUGCCAGAGACAGAGCCAGGGGAACCCCGGGCUCAUGAGGGUGAGAGAUAGGAGUCUAGGAGUAGGCAGCCCCUGCUAUGUUCACUGCCCACCUACUCUGCCCAAAAAUGCAUAAGCUAGGGUCCCUCUACUCAUCAGCCCUCAGUGUCCAAGUAGAGUCACCUUUAUAUAAAACACAUGCUGAAACUUGAACCAGUGUUGUUUUAUGGGUUAUGAAGUGAACAUUUACUGAAAGAUCCACAAGGUUAAAUAGAUGCUCCAAUUUGUUUGUUACACUGAUUAAAAAGUAACCAAAUGUCAUACUUUUAACAGAAUAAUCUCUAUAUAUUCACACACAUUACUACUAUUGAAAUUGUAUAGGAAAAAAGAAAUUGAGCUUAGAGGAAUGAGUAGAUGUCCCAGAGUCAAACACCUGGGACAUCAUUCAUCUGUGCGUUGAACCAGAUCUAGAGCCCCUGCCUAGUUUGUCAUUACUCGUAUUGGAAAAAGUGAACACUGGGACUUUUCCCCUUCAGCGUUAAUGAAAAUAACCCCCAUUUUCUUCCCAUCCAACAUAUUAAAUUUCUUACUGUCAAGUCGAAGGUAGCAAAGGUGGCAACAAGAGAGAGUGACAAAAUAAAAACCUUCCAUAAUGUCUACACUUACUUAAAUGAACAAGAAAUUGAUUUGGUUCUGGUCUCAGACCUGCAACAUUAAUGAUGCUUUGGGAAUUAAGUCUUUCCUUUGGUUUUUCUCUUGACUUUGGAAAUGUCACAACUUGCUGGUUUUACCUACUUCAAUGAUGGGAUCUCAGUUUCCUUGGCUUCCUAAUCUUGUUCUGCUGGAUCACUACAUGCCAGAGCUCCAGAAUUUCGUUUGGGUUUAUGAGUAUUAGAUUUAGAAAAUAAUUUGAGUUUUUAAAUUUUGCAAAUUAUAUAAAUUUGAGUUAGAGUCUAAACAAUCCAAACAAAACACUUAAAAAAAAUAUGCCUCAUGAACUGUUUUGGACAUACCUAUACUGAAAAAAAAACUUAUCCUGAGUUCUUUUCUCUUUCUUCUCCACAUGCUUUUUUAAAUCAAUCUCAUUGAGCCUGGUGGCUUGAUUCAUUCUUUGAGCAGAUAAUUCUCAAAUUUUCCCUUCAUACCUCCUUUUCUCUAUAUUCAUCUGCCUUCUUGGCAUCUUCACUUGGAUAGCUCGCACUUAAUCUAUCCAAAAUCGAGCUCUUAUAUUCAAAACCUCCCCAUAUAGUAUGAACCCCCUUUUUAAUCAAUCUUUCCCAACUAAUAAAUGAUUUCAUUAUUCACUUGGAUUUUUAAGGUAAAAACCAAUUGAUCAUGCUUAAUUCUUCUCUUUUCAUCAUCCUCCAAUAUUUAAUUCAUAAUUCAGGCUUGUAAUUUAGCAUUAAAUUAUGUUCUAAAUAUUUCCAUUUUUCACCAUAUUCCCUUCUCAGUCCCUAGCUUCAGCCACUCUUUGUUCUUGUCCACAUGACUGCAGUGACUUACUCUCCAGCCUUCUUCAUUCAACACGAACCUACAAGAACCCAUUCUCUACAAGGUAGCAAGAGUGAUUUCCCAAAAAUUUUUGCUCACAAAGUUCUCAUGAAAAACUGUGCAGCUCCAUCAAUCUUCAAAAGUUAAAUACACUUCUUACUAUUUCCCAUAGCAGGGAUAUAGUUUAAUCAGCUUUGUAUUUUCACAAUGUAUAUUAGAAUCAUUUAGGAACAGUAGUGAUCAGAAGAUUUUGUAUUAAGCUAUGCUAUAAAAAUAUGUAUACACUGCUAUAUUUAGUACAGACUGUUAUUUUUUAGUGUGAUGCCAUGUAGUCAUACUAUGAUAAAUUGUAACAUGUUCUCACUCUCUCCUCUCUUCUCACACAUUCUCAAAUUAUCCACCAUGACGAGCUCUAUGAGUAUGAUACACAAGAUUAGAUACUUGUAAACAAAUGUCUUUGUGAAAAUUAAGAAAAAUAAACACAGAGACUCUUCCAUUUCUCAAUAUUUGGCUGCAAGAAAAAUCAUGUUAUAAGUAGUUAGAAAGAAGUCUUACAGAUGCUCUUUCUGGGCAUAGAAGUUUGUUCUAAUUCAUUGAGUUCAUGAAUAUUCUCAUUCUCAAUUGAUGUUCUCAACCGUUCUUUUAAACACAUGUACAUCAAUGGUUCUCUAUGUGAGCCCAUUUUCUAGGAUAGAAAACCAGUAAUUAUCCCAUUUGAAACACACAAAGGCCUCAACCAUUGGUCAUAUUAUUGCACAGGCUUGGUGUAUUCAAGCUUGUAUUGAUAUAAUGAUAUAAAUAAUUUAAUAAAGACUCAAGGAUAGAAGCUAGGAAGACCAAAAGUCUCUCCUCUACCAAACAGAACUUCUGUUUAGUAUUAGAGUAUUCAUGACAACCAAUAGUGUCACGUAAUAGCCCUUUGUCCAACUCAAAAUGAAAAAAAAAUCACUACACUUACACAAAAACAUGUCUGAUGAUGUGUAAAUUGGAACUCAGAAGUUCUCAAAAAAUACUUCAUAAUUAACUUUCAAUUCUUUUGUAUAAAGAUCCAUCUUUCCCUAAUUCUUUGCCAAACUUCAGUAAGCUAAAAGUCUCUUUUGACAUACGCAUUCCUUACACCAGAAUUCAUAUCAAAUAGUAGGACCUGUGCCUUCUCUCUCUUUCUCUCUUUCUUUCUUUCUUUUUUUUUUUUUUUUUUUUUUUUUACUUUUUAAUGCUUUAAAAAAUGAGGUGAUCAUGUUGACUCUUAACAAACCUUGUGCUUAUUUUGUCUUGUCUUAAGGUGACCUAGAAGCUCUGGUUGUGUGAAAAGCUUUAAAAUGCUUGUGUAUUCCUAGACAGCAUGACCCACUCCUGGGGCCAGUUUGAGAAAACACAUGUUCAACAGCUUGGUGAGAAUCAUUCUUGAGGCUCAGCAGGUGGUUUGUUAAUGGGAACAAGGGAAGCUUAAGAUUUGACCCCUUGGCUCUGCUACUGCCCUCUGUUCAUGGCUCCCUGGGGCUAGCGAGUUGAGUGAGCUAAGAAAGAACCCACUAUUAAAGAGGCACUAAACUAUUGCUAGGUUCUUCUUAAUAACAUCAGAAAUUGUCCUCCUCAGGGGCCUUACUCUAUAAGUUAUGCCGAAUAAGUUUGGAACACCUGCCUUCAUUACAGGAAAGGAAAGCAGCUCAAACUCUAGUGCCCACAAGACCCCGGAGAGCUCAUACUUUCUCUGGUUUGGUAUUUAUAUCAUAGAGUGUAGGCUCUUGGGAAUAGGGUCAAGACUAUGGGAAUAUGCAGAUGGUAACAACACUUGUGGCCAGAUGGUGAUGUUUAGGGGAAUUUUCCACUGGAACUCCACUUAGCUAGUCUUUAGAAAUUUUGAUCAGAGUUCAGUCCUUUGAGAAACUGCAGGUCAAGUGAGUGAGAGGAUCCCCAGGAAUCAGAUUCAAGUUCAGGCAGGCAGGCUUCCUGUCCCUGCUGAAUUGUAAAGUAAAACUGUAAUUCUGUUAGACAGGCAUAGCACAGAGAGGUACAUAGAAAGGCUAUUCCAUAGAUAUAUCAGGUUCUAGGUUUCAAACAUCAAGAGUAUUUCCAUAUAGUUCUCACUUGAUAUCUAGGAAAAUCUACUAUCAUUUCUGUUCUGGUCAAUAUUUAUUAUAAAACGGAAUGAAGGUUUUAAGCUUUCAGGUUAUGCUUUGUUUUGUAUGGCAACUAGGUACAAGGAUCCAGCAUGAGCUCCUAUGGUUGUAGGACAAUGAAACUAACUGUAAUUUUCCAAUAGAGAAGACUAAGCUUUCUAAAAUCCAAACUUGACUUUACUCCUUAAGAAUAAAAAUAAUGCUGAGCAUCAUUAUAGUAGAAAAAUUGAUCUGAAGAGGGCAGAAGGAGACAUUUAACUGAGAGGAUAAAAUAAAGAAUGAAAAUCUAACCAAGUAGUGUCUUGGAAAGAGAAGAGAGAAAUAACAGUACCUGCAGACGUCUCAUCAGACCAGAGUGUAGCUGUCUGGUGAUGUCCAGACACCAGAGCUACGCAGGCAUGAUGCCCCCGUGACACACAUUCAUCAAUCUCCUGACUGCACUCCAGACAAGCUGGGAUGGGGAGACUGUCAAACAAAAACUAAAUAGAUCAUAAAACAAAACAUACAGCUAUGUUCUACAUGGGAUGAAUUUGUCAGUAUCUCUUUAUAACAAACUAAAUUGGAAUGCAUGCGUUAAUUCCCUGAUUUUGGGGGUUCCCAUAAAUCUGAGAAUAUUGGGAGUGUUUUUAACUUAAAAAAUGGCUAGGACAAAUGAAUACAUAUACAUAUAUAGGUAAAAAAAUAAAGUGUCUCUAGCCACGUCUAUGUUGGGAAACUCACAAAUAAAGAAUGCUUUCCAAACCUUUGUUAGUAGCAAAUUUCAAAUAGAACUCCUGACUCUGACAGGUGAAAAACUAAUUAUGUUUGCUUUAUACACUUUAUACUUCCUUAACAAUCACUGAGGUGAAAAUCAGUCUUCUUUGCUUGGUGUUAAUGAGCUGGGCACAAUUUACAUCCCACCUAGAAUUUCAGGACAUGUGUAUGCAGGAAUCCUCUUUAUCUUCUUGUCUUACUGCCUGGCAAGGCGCUGUCAUCCCUGGCUUUCUCUACCUGCCUGCAGCCCCUUUAAAUGUCUAUCUAGAGGCAGGCUUAGUCUUUCCAUUAUAUGAGCUAGUCUUCACAGGGCAGGGAACAUAUUGUCAUAGUCUAACCUCAUUUGGAUGGAUCUGGAAUAAAUUUUGCUGCCCAAUGCAUAAUACCUCAUGUAUCCAAAAGCCAUCCUAUCUCUUGACCCUCAUUCCUAUUUCGUAUAGCACAAGUUCUUAAAAAACUUGAAGUUCCAUUGACAGUGGAAGUUCUGAAUAAGUUAUACUCAUUUUCUUCUAAUUUUAUAUUCCACAUAUCUCAAUUCUUUGAGUCUAUGGCCUCAUCUCUUUUUCAUCUUUUUUUGCAUAUUACUUUCUUUUGGGGAUUUGAAGGUUAAUACUAACUCCUUGGAAACCAAAAUCUGGGCUUCUCAUUUGGUAACUCAAUAUUAGGAUCUCUUGGGACCUUCCGUCUUUACAGUCUCACAAUCUCCUAUCAUGGGAAAGUCCUUGUGAGACACUCUUCCCCACUUCUAGGUGGGGGUUACAUAGCGAAUGAAAUUUGGGCUGAGCCUUGCAGCCAAAAAAUGCUGGGUGCCUGCAUAUCCAUUGAAUAUCUGAUCAAUCUCCCAUCCUUCAUGUUUCCAAAUCUAGCAUUUUACCUAUUAGGACCGGAUACCUGCUACCAAACCACAGUCUUCCUGUUCAGGAUAUUAACAACUUAGAUAUGUCUUCUUUUCUUCUGUCAGGAGGUUAAAUCCUACUAUCCAUUAAAUCAGCCACUGACUUCUGCAUUAUUACAAAAUGCCAAGAUGGUGUCUUAGCCAACAUGUCCUUAAUAUAUAACCCUAUUUAUGUAAAUAGAUGCCACAAGGUCAUCUAAAAAAAAGUGUCACUUUGGCGUUGUCUCUUUUUGAGUGAAACCUUGGCUGCAGUUUAGCACAAGAUUGAGGUAACCUGGGAUCUCUGAUAGCAAAAUACUGUCUCAGAAUUCUUGCUCUGAACUCACAUGGAAGAACUCAACAUACUGCGGACACUGUGUAGAACAACCUAGGACGUCUUGAGUCCAUUUUGAAGAAAGGAAGUUUUCCAGUACCUCUCAUUCAACCUGCCUGGUCCUCUUCCAAGUUUUCACUAAUCUAUAGCGAGAUCACUGGUAGGAAUCCUUGAGAAUGGCAUCGCUCUCUUAUACUAGAGGCCACUUUAUUCAGGCAGGAAAGCCUUUCCAUGUGUUAAGCAAUGACAUCCUGCCCCCUUGCAAAGAUAGAAGGGAGUCACGCAGCGGGAAAAAGAUGCAAGUUAGGAUGCGUGGGUUGAAGCCCUCCUCUUCUAUUUUCAAUCAUUGUGACAUUGUGUCAGGCACUCAGCUCUCUCUGAAACUAGCUUAUUCAACAUUAAAGCAGGGAAAUUUAUAAAAGGGAUAAUGGGUUGAAGUGUCUUUAUAACUCAGAACACUAGAUAAAUAGGAAAUUAUUUCUGUCACAGAGUCAUUGUACAAGGUGCUGUGAUAGAUUCAAAGGUUUAGAUAUAUUCUUUGACAGAAUCCUUUAUAUCUAAUAGGAAAAGGUGGAGGUUGAGGGCACACAGAGAACUGGGUUAAAAGUCUGGCUUUAGUCCUUGGGGCUAAUGUCACCUACCUCCAAGUGUUCUGUGAAAAUGAACAACAUAUGUUAUAAAACCAGUGCAGGAACAUGGAACACUUAAUGCAGCUCAAUUGAUUAUAAAUAAAGGGACAUAAAUGCUAAAAUAAUCAAAUAAUAAAUAACUGUAUUUUAACCUCAGUAAAAAAAUCUAUAACUUGGUCCCUUCCCAUGUAUUUGCAAUUCUUAAAUGAUGUUUUAAAAUAAGGAAGGUUGGAAUUCCCUUGUGGCUCAGCAGGUUAAGAACUUGACAUAGUGUUCCUGAGGAUGUGAAUUUGAUCCCUGGCCUAGUUCAGUGGGUUAAGGAUCUGAUGUUGCUGCAAGCUGUGGUAUAGGUCCCAGAUGCAUCUCAGAUCCCAUGUUGCUGUGGCUGUGGUGCAGGCCUGCAGCUGCAGCUCCGAUUUGACCCCUGGCUCAGGAACUUCCAUAUGCCACAGGUAUGGC
rnacentral:lncRNA from 1 species